CGUAGGGUGCGAGCGUUAAUCGGAAUUACUGGGCGUAAAGCGUGCGCAGGCGGUUUGUAAGACAGGCGUGAAAUCCCCGGGCUUAACCUGGGAACUGCGCUUGUGACUGCAAGGCUAGAGUACGGCAGAGGGGGUGGAAUUCCACGUGUAGCAGUGAAAUGCGUAGAGAUGUGGAGGAACACCAAUGGCGAAGGCAGCCCCCUGGGUCGAUACUGACGCUCAUGCACGAAAGCGUGGUAGCAAACAGGAUU
rnacentral:rRNA from 1 species